AGAGUUUGAUCCUGGCUCAGGAUGAACGCUAGCGACAGGCCUAACACAUGCAAGUCGAGGGGUAGAAGAAGCUUGCUUUUUUGAGACCGGCGCACGGGUGAGUAACGCGUAUGCAACCUACCUUAUACUGGGGGAUAGCCCAAAGAAAUUUGGAUUAAUACCGCAUAACAUAUUUGAAUCGCAUGGUUUGAAUAUUAAAACUCCGGUGGUAUAAGAUGGGCAUGCGUAGCAUUAGUUUGUUGGUGAGGUAACGGCUCACCAAGACUAUGAUGCUUAGGGGGUCUGAGAGGAUAGUCCCCCACACUGGUACUGAGACACGGACCAGACUCCUACGGGAGGCAGCAGUGAGGAAUAUUGGUCAAUGGGCGAAAGCCUGAACCAGCCAUGUCGCGUGCAGGAUGACGGCCCUAUGGGUUGUAAACUGCUUUUUUUACAGGAAUAAUUGCAGAUACGUGUGUUCGUUUGAAUGUACUGUAUGAAUAAGGAUCGGCUAACUCCGUGCCAGCAGCCGCGGUAACACGGAGGAUUUGAGCGUUAUCCGGAUUUAUUGGGUUUAAAGGGUCCGUAGGCGGUUCUUUAAGUCAGUGGUGAAAUCCCAGAGCUCAACUCUGGAACUGCCAUUGAAACUGAAGAACUUGAAUAUGGUUGAGGUAGGCGGAAUACGUUAUGUAGCGGUGAAAUGCAUAGAUAUAACGUAGAACACCAAUUGCGAAGGCAGCUUACUAAACCAUUAUUGACGCUGAUGGACGAAAGCGUGGGGAGCGAACAGGAUUAGAUACCCUGGUAGUCCACGCCGUAAACGAUGAUUACUCGUUGUGCACAAUACACCGUGCGUGACUGAGCGAAAGCAUUAAGUAAUCCACCUGGGGAGUACGUUCGCAAGAAUGAAACUCAAAGGAAUUGACGGGGGCCCGCACAAGCGGAGGAACACGUGGUUAAAUUCGAUGAUACGCGAGGAACCUUACCUGGACUUAAAUGUAGAUUGACCGGUUUAGAAAUAGAUCUUUCCUUCGGGACAAUUUACAAGGUGCUGCAUGGCUGUCGUCAGCUCGUGCCGUGAGGUGUCGGGUUAAGUCCCAUAACGAGCGCAACCCCUAUCGUUAGUUGCUAGCAGGUAAUGCUGAGGACUCUAGCGAGACUACCACCGUAAGGUGAGAGGAAGGUGGGGAUGACGUCAAAUCAGCACGGCCCUUACGUCCAGGGCUACACACGUGUUACAAUGGCCAGUACAAAGGGCAGCUACCAGGUGACUGGAUGCUAAUCUCAAAAGCUGGUCUCAGUUCGGAUCGGAGUCUGCAACUCGACUCCGUGAAGUUGGAUUCGCUAGUAAUCGUAUAUCAGCAAUGAUACGGUGAAUACGUUCCCGGGCCUUGUACACACCGCCCGUCAAGCCAUGGAAGCCGAGGAUGCCUUAAGUACGUUACCGCAAGGAGCGUCCUAGGGUAAAAUUGGUAACUGGGGCUAAGUCGUAACAAGGUA
rnacentral:rRNA from 1 species